AUCUCUCUGGAGAUCACUCGUCUUGGAGACCUUUUGGUGAGCCCAGGUUAUGGACAACAUCCAGGGGAAAGAAUAUGCUCUUUUAAAUAGAUUCUCCAGUUUGGAACUUCAAGUGAUCUAGAAAGUCAUUGAAAAGACUUUGUGCUGCGCCCCUCAGAAUGAGGCCCUGGCUUGGAGCCCCAGUUCCAGAGUCCUCUGCUGAGCAGUCAGGCUGCCUCCAAGGUGUGGGCUUCAGGGCUGCAACACUAUGAUGUUUCCUCUUUUCAUAUCUGUAAUGAUUCAGACCUUCCCCUUUGAAGGCAUGUCCCACUGGCUCUGAUUUUCCUUCAGUAGACAUUAAGGGCAGGAUCCAAUUAAGGAAGCUAAAGGAGUGGAGAGCUUUUUUUGCCGGAGGAAACUGUCUUUGAUGAAGUUUGUAUGGACAGUGACUAAAGCUGCAUCUUGCUCCUGAAAUAAAGACAUCUGUCUGGACAAUAAUCCAAGGAUUGAGGAAAGCCAUUGAUGCUCACCACCACUGUGGAACAUCAUAGCAUCUGCAGACUAUAGCUGGUACUCAUCAGAAGGAAAAAAAGAAGGAAGGACACAAAUUGUCUAAUAAGUUUACUACUAUGUGCAGGAGAACCAGUGCAACACAAAAAAAAACAGGUAUUUAUAGACAUUGAUCAGAUCCCCCUCUGAGCCUUCUCAUAUCUAGGAUGUUCAGUUCUGGCGCUCUCAACCUCUCCUCACAGAAGAGCUACACCAGACCCUUCAUUUUACUUGCUCUUUGCUGGAGUCUCAGUACCUCCAGGCCUCCUGGGGAGCCCAGUGUUUAACAGAGAAGGAUGACCACUCAUGCUGCUGGCAACCCUUGGCCUAAUACAGCUAAGAAUGCCAUUAACUUUUUUUCUUUCAGCCAUGAAUAUUGUUAUGCAUAUAAACUAUUUUUGAAAGAGUCUUUUUGGAAAAUGUCUUCAUGCUUCAGGACACAGGUCAAACUCUUAACAAAUGAGACUUAUAAACUUUUCUCCUCUACCAGUUAUGCUAGAUGACUUUAUUUCUGGGUUUUUGCACUUUAUGCUUUUCUGAUGUGGUGCUUCCAGUCCGUUUGUCAUUAGAACACCGUUAACUAUUCUGAUGGCCACAGUACAUCUUUGUGAUGAAAGAAAUGUCUAUAGAGGUUUAUCUGAGUUUCUGAAUAUCUGACAAGACUAGGGAUCAAUAUGAAUUUGUUAUCUUACUAUGAAGACCUCAAAACUGUGUGAAUGGGAAAGCCAUAGUACGAUGACUGAAUGCCAUUUACAAUAUUCUAUUUUCUAGUCUUUUUCUCUGGACAGAAACAAAACAAAAUCAAACCUAAUCAAAACCUAACGUAGUGAACUAGAAGCAAUCACUUGUCCACUGCAUGCAGCACACUAGCUAAAGAAAGCAAAUCAUGAUCUCUAAAUUAGUGUUGACCUAUGCCAGUUGGUCUAGAGUACACAGUGAAAGGGCACAAACAAAUAGCAGAUGUGAUGUGGAAGCAGGAAAAUUGUUGCUGUAUGAGCUCCAGUGUGGCACCAUGUGGUCACGGGAAUGUUGCUUUUGAACCAUCAUCAUUCCUUUAGGGCUAACAUAUAGUGAACAAUUUUGAUAUGUCUUUCAGCCACAGUGUAUGCUAUAAGAAAUAAAAAUGAUAUGUGGGGAGCAG
ensembl:lncRNA